rnacentral:rRNA from 1 species
CCUACGGGAGGCAGCAGUGAGGAAUAUUGGUCAAUGGGCGCAGGCCUGAACCAGCCAAGUCGCGUGAGGGAAGACUGCCCUAUGGGUUGUAAACCUCUUUUAUAAGGGAAGAAGAAUGACUACGUGUAGACAGAUGCCCGUACCUUAUGAAUAAGCAUCGGCUAACUCCGUGCAAGCAGCCGCGGUAAUACGGAGGAAGCGAGCUUUAUCCGGGUUGAUUGGGGUUAAAGGGUGCGUAGGCGGUAUUUUAAGUUAGUGGUAAAACGUCUGGGCUUCACCUUGAUUUGCCAUUGAAACUGGCGUACUAGAGUACCGGCGAGGUAGGCGGAAUCAGUUCCGUAGCGGUGAAAUGCUUAGAUAUCACUUAGAACCCCGAUCGCGAAGGCAGCUUACCAGACUGUUCCUGACGCUGACGCACGAGAGCGUGGGUAGCGAACAGGAUUAGAUACCCGGGUAGUC